UACGUAGGCAGCGAGCGUUGUUCGGAGUUACUGGGCGUAAAGCGUGCGUAGGCGGUGGUCCAAGUCUGGUGUGAAAUCUCCCGGCUUAACUGGGAGGGUGCGCCGGAAACUGGGCCGCUGGAGUACGGGAGAGGCAAGCGGAAUUCCAGGUGUAGCGGUGAAAUGCGUAGAUAUCUGGAGGAACACCCGUGGUGCAGACGGCUUGCUGGACCGUGACUGACGCUGAGGCGCGAAAGCCAGGGGAGCGAACGGG
rnacentral:rRNA from 1 species